rnacentral:rRNA from 1 species
GAUGAACGCUGGCGGCGUGCCUAAUACAUGCAAGUCGAGCGAACAGACGAGGAGCUUGCUCCUCUGACGUUAGCGGCGGACGGGUGAGUAACACGUGGAUAACCUACCUAUAAGACUGGGAUCACUUCGGGAAACCGGAGCUAAUACCGGAUAAUAUAUUGAACCGCAUGGUUCAAUAGUGAAAGACGGUUUUGCUGUCACUUAUAGAUGGAUCCGCGCCGCAUUAGCUAGUUGGUAAGUUAACGGCUUACCAAGGCAACGAUGCGUAGCCGACCGGAGAGGGUGGUAGGCCACACUAGAACUGAGACAGGGUCCAGACUCCUACGGGAGGCAGCAGUAGGGAAUCUUCCGCAAUGGGCGAAAGCCUGACGGAGCAACGCCGCGUGAGUGAUGAAGGUCUUCGGAGCGUAAAACUCUGUUAUUAGGGAAGAACAAAUGUGUAAGUAACUAUGCACGUCUUGACGGUACCUAAUCAGAAAGCCACGGCUAACUACGUG